AACAGCAAUAAACUUUUAAAGAUUAACAGCCGAUUAUCAUCGACUAUUGACACAUUUGGUUUUUUAUGACAAAAGAUCAUAACAAUUUUUAAGAUAAUAAAAAUGAUUAGAACAAAUCAUGUGACUGUCAGUAUUAUAUCUCAUCUCAACGUUAUACAAAAGUUUGCUUGAAAAUAUUUGAUACCGCAAAUUAUCAAAAAUAAGUUUUAAGCAAAUAAUUUGUGUAGCUUUGUAACAUCAACUUUUUAUAAGAAAAAUGGAUAAACUUUUUAGUAGGUUUUUUAAAUAUGUUUUUUUAUCAGCUUUCUUUACAACUUCAAAAAGUUUAAACAAUCCAAGUUUGAUUUUUAAAGAAGAAGAUUAUAAUUGGAUAUUUUAUUUGGUUGUUAUUUUGCCUGCUGGUCUUCCAAUACUAGUACCCUUAACUGUUAAAUGUUUUAGAAAAGAUCUGAACUUUGGUAGAUUAAUUUCACUAUGGUCGUAUUUUAGUUCAAAAUCCACAAUCGUGGCUCUCGGCAAGAUAUUGAGAAGUCGGUUUGUUUUAAUAACUUUUUUGUUUUGUCGAUAAGCAGUUCAGGAAGUUUUAAAGGAAGGGUGUCUAAGCCAUAAAAUUUUGUGAAAAGAGUAUAUUUGCUUUUUCCUACAUUUAGCGAGAGUUUGUUGGUCUCAAACCAUUUGUUUAGAUUUUCUAGUUCUUGAUUAACCGUGUUAAGCAUAAAGUUGAUGUUUUCGUGGCUAAAAAAUGUUUGUGUAUCGUCAUCAAAGAGAAUAAAGAUGAGUUUAUUUAAAGAUGAGAUGAUCAUUAAUAUAAACAAGAAAUAGUAAUGGCCCUAGAAUUGAUUCUGCUGGAGCCCAUAGGUAAUACUUUUAGGUUGUGUAGCAGUAUUGUCAUGCGGUAAUGGCCGUCUUCGAUUGUUAAGGUAGGAGCAAACCUUUUUAAAGUUUAUGUUUUUUCUUUUCAUUAAUAUCUUGUUUAUACAGAAGAAUCUCAUGGUCAACAGUGUCAAAUGUUUUUGAAAGAUCAAGAAAUACCCUUGAGUGCAUUAAUUUUUGUCGAAUCCAUUUAAAUUUUCAUUUGUAACUUUGAUUGCAGCGUGUUCUGCUGAGUGUCGUUUUUGAAAUUCAUAUUUAUUAUUAUUUAAGAGGUGAUAAUUAACUAGAAAGUUAUAGAGUCUAUUGUGUAUUAUGCGCUCUAACAUUUUCUAAAAACAGAGUAAAAUAGAAUUGGGUCUAUAGUUAAAAGCCAAAGAACCGUCCUUUCUUUCAAAUAUAGGAACAACGUUAGCCAUCUUAAGCUGUUCAGAAGAUACCCCGUGAUUUAAAGGCAUGUUGUAAAUAAUCAGAAGGGGAUGUUCAACAAUAUCGUACAAACUUUUUACGACAUUUGCGCCAAUGUUCUCAAGUCCUGGGUUUUUGUUUGAUUGUAUGAUAUUAAAGGCGUUUUGAAGCUCAUUUAAAGUUAUUUUAUCCUUUUCCAUAACGAAAUCCUUUUUUUGUAAAUACGAUUUAAAACUUGUUUUAA